rnacentral:tRNA from 1 species
AGCCUUGUGGCGCAAGGGUUUGCGCAAAAGAGCCCUAGGCUGACUUUUAAUCAGUAGGUCAUGGGUUCGAAUCCCAUCGCGCUCACCA